UGGGGAAUUUUGGACAAUGGGCGAAAGCCUGAUCCAGCCAUGCCGCGUGCGGGAAGAAGGCCUUCGGGUUGUAAACCGCUUUUGUCAGGGAAGAAAAGCGCCAGGCUAAUACCUUGGCGUCAUGACGGUACCUGAAGAAUAAGCACCGGCUAACUACGUGCCAGCAGCCGCGGUAAUACGUAGGGUGCAAGCGUUAAUCGGAAUUACUGGGCGUAAAGCGUGCGCAGGCGGUCGUGCAAGACAGAUGUGAAAUCCCCGGGCUCAACCUGGGAACUGCAUUUGUGACUGCACGGCUUGAGUGCGGCAGAGGGGAAUGGAAUUCCGCAUGUAGCAGUGAAAUGCGUAGAUAUGCGAGGAACACCGAUGGCGAAGGCAAUUCCCGUGGGCCUGCACUGACGCUCA
rnacentral:rRNA from 1 species